rnacentral:rRNA from 1 species
UACGUAGGGGGCAAGCGUUGUCCGGAAUCACUGGGUUUAAAGGGUGCGUAGGAGGGCAGGUAAGUCAGUGGUGAAAUCCCCGAGCUUAACUUGGGAACUGCCGUUGAUACUAUCUGUCUUGAAUAUUGUGGAGGUGAGCGGAAUAUGUCAUGUAGCGGUGAAAUGCUUAGAUAUGACAUAGAACACCAAUUGCGAAGGCAGCUCGCUACACAUAUAUUGACUCUGAGGCACGAAAGCGUGGGGAUCAAACAGG